CCUACGGGAGGCAGCAGUAGGGAAUAUUGCUCAAUGGGGGAAACCCUGAAGCAGCAACGCCGCGUGGAGGAUGAAGGUCUUCGGAUGGUAAACCUCUGUCAGCAGGGAAGAACGGUCACUGUGCUAAUCAGCAGUGAAUUGACGGUACCUGCAAAGGAAGCACCGGCUAACUCCGUGCCAGCAGCCGCGGUAAUCCGUAGGGUGCGAGCGUUUAUCGGAAUUACUGGGCGUAAAGCGCUCGUAGGCGGUAUGUCAAGUCAAGGGUGAAAUCCCCGCGCUCAACGUGGGAACUGCCUUUGAAAGUGGCAAACUGGAGUGUGUGAGAGGAUAGUGGAAUUCCAGGUGUAGGAGUGAAAUCCGUAGAUAUCUGGAGGAACAUCAGUGGCGAAGGCGACUAUCUGGCACAUAACUGACGCUGAGGAGCGAAAGCGUGGGUAGCAAACAGGAUUAGAUACCCGAGUAGUC
rnacentral:rRNA from 1 species